GAUGAACGCUAGCGGCAGGCCUAAUACAUGCAAGUCGGACGGGAUUCAGGAGCUUGCUUCUGAUGAGAGUGGCGCACGGGUGCGUAACACGUAUGUAACCUACCUUUAUCAGGGGGAUAGCCUCUCGAAAGAGAGAUUAAGCCCGCAUAAAAUCACAGCACAGCAUUGUGUAAUGAUCAAAUAUUUAUAGGAUAAAGAUGGGCAUGCGGAACAUUAGCUAGAUGGCGGGGUAACGGCCCACCAUGGCGACGAUGUUUAGGGGAUCUGAGAGGAUGGCCCCCCACACUGGUACUGAGACACGGACCAGACUCCUACGGGAGGCAGCAGUAAGGAAGAGUGGGCAAUGGGCGGAAGCCUGAACCAGCCAUGCCGCGUGCAGGAAGACGGCCCUACGGGUUGUAAACUGCUUUUAUACGGGAAUAAACCCAGAUACGUGUAUCUGGCUGAAUGUACUGGAAGAAUAAGGAUCGGCUAACUCCGUG
rnacentral:rRNA from 1 species